rnacentral:rRNA from 1 species
AAGUCGAACGGAAAUUAGCUUCGGUUAAUUUUAGUGGCGGACGGGUGAGUAACACGUGAGAAUUCGCCUUUAGGAGGGGGAUAACGGAUGGAAACAUUCGCUAAAACCCCAUAUGCCCCUGGGUGAAACAGAGGAGAUAAGUAAUACUGACUCACCUCUGCCUGAAGAGAAGCUCGCGGCUGAUUAGCUAGUUGGUAGGGUAAAGGCCUACCAAGGCGACGAUCAGUAGCUGGUCUGAGAGGACGAUCAGCCACACUGGAACUGAGACACGGUCCAGGCUCCUACGGGAGGCAGCAGUGAGGAAUUUUCUGCAAUGGGCGAAAGCCUGACAGAGCAAUACCGCGUGAGGGAUGAAGACUUACUGAGUUGUAAACCUCGGUGCCUUAAGGAAGAAGAUCUGACGGUACUUAAGGUGGAAAGCAUCGGCUAACUCCGUGCCAGCAGCCGCGGUAAGACGGGGGAUGCAAGUGUUAUCCGGAUUUACUGGGCGUAAAGCGUCUGCAGGUGGUUUCUUAAGUCUGCUGUUAAAUCUUGAGGCUCAACCUCAAAUCUGCAGUAGAAACUAGGAGACUUGAGUAUAGUAGGGGUAGAGGGAAUUUCCAGUGGAGCGGUGAAAUGCGUAGAUAUUGGAAAGAACACCGAUGGCGAAGGCACUCUACUGGGCUAUUACUGACACUCAGAGACGAAAGCUAGGGGAGCAAAUGGGAUUAGAUACCCCAGUA